rnacentral:rRNA from 1 species
GAUGAACGCUGGCGGCGUGCCUAAUACAUGCAAGUCGAGCGAACAGACGAGGAGCUUGCUCCUCUGACGUUAGCGGCGGACGGGUGAGUAACACGUGGAUAACCUACCUAUAAGACUGGGAUAACUUCGGGAAACCGGAGCUAAUACCGGAUAAUAUAUUGAACCGCAUGGUUCAAUAGUGAAAGACGGUUUUGCUGUCACUUAUAGAUGGAUCCGCGCCGCAUUAGCUAGUUGGUAAGGUAACGGCUUCCCAAGGCAACGAUGCGUAGCCGACCUGAGAGGGUGAUCGGCGACACUGGAACUGAGACACGGUCCAGACUCCUACGGGAGGCAGCAGUAGGGAAUCUUCCGCAGUGGUCGAAAGCUUGACGGAGCAACGCCGCGUGAGUGAUGAAGGUCUUCGGAUCGUAAAGCUCUGUUAUUAGGGAAGAACAAAUGUGUAAGUAACUAUGCACGUCUUGACGGUACCUAAUCAGAAAGCCACGGCUAACUACGUG